GGGUGGCCGAACGUGAUGACGUCAGGCCUAGGCGGACGGGAUACAAGAACGCGAUGACGAAAGACGCUCUCCCUUUCCCCCUCGGUCUGCAGCGAGAAUGAAGACCAUUCUCAGCAACCAGACUGUUGACAUCCCGGAGAAAGUCGACAUUUCUCUGAAGGGCCGGGCAGUUAUUGUGAAAGGUCCCAGAGGAACCUUGCGACGGGAUUUUAACCACAUCAAUGUAGAGCUCUCCCUCUUGGGAAAGAAGCACAAGAAGCUACGGGUUGACAAAUGGUGGGGUAACAGAAAGGAGCUGGCAACAGUUCGUACAAUUUGCAGUCAUGUUCAAAACAUGAUCAAAGGUGUCACAUUGGGCUUUCGUUACAAAAUGAGGUCUGUAUAUGCUCACUUCCCCAUCAACGUAGUUAUACAGGAAAAUGGCUCACUUGUGGAAAUCCGUAACUUCCUGGGAGAGAAAUAUAUCCGCAGGGUACGCAUGAGGCCAGGUGUUGCCUGUGCAGUAUCUCAAGCCCAGAAGGAUGAGUUGAUUCUUGAAGGGAAUGACAUUGAAUUGGUAUCAAACUCAGCUGCCUUGAUCCAGCAGGCCACCACAGUCAAGAACAAGGAUAUCAGAAAAUUCUUGGAUGGUAUCUAUGUUUCCGAGAAGGGAACAGUACAACAGGCUGAUGAAUAAAACUAUAAUAGGUUGGUAUUUUAUGCAGUAACAUUUUGUAUUAUAAUUUCAAAGGUAUGUGUGUAAUUUGAUAAAUCAGGUCCCUGUCUUAAAGACUUCAGCAGAUUUUUGGGAACAGGGAAUGAUCAAUACAUGUGCGUGGGGGAGUGCUCUUGAACAGCUAACAUGAAAAGUUACUUGCUAGUAGGGACUUGUCUAUAGUUAAGUUUUUCUACUUUAAGUAUAUGUUAGAGGCAACUCCCAGUAUGGUUACAUAUAAUUAUACUGAUAUAAAAGUGCUUAAACUAGUGUAGUUUAUUCUGAUUCAGGAAGCAAAAUAAGCAAUGCUAAUAUUAAAGCACCUCUAUACUAGUACAGAUGCAUCCGCACAAGAGCUUUUACUGGUAUAAUUGUCAGUAAAAAAUUGCACCUCUGACAGAUUGGUUUCAGAUUAGAUCAGGUCUGGGCUUUGUUCUCCUGAGCAUGGUGCAUGCAAUGCCAUAGCUGAGGUCUUCAAACAAAAUUUUGUCACUCUUGAACGGCUCUUCAGGUUCCUAUCUGGUUUGAGGCAUUGGAGUGCAGACUCAUUGAAUUUGGUGGUAAGACUUUUGCUCCUUAGUUUGGUGAUGGCACAGAGCAGUGUAUUGAUAGGAAGAUUUAGCAGCAUUUUCAUUGCCUAGUAUUUUUGCUAUUCAGUAGCUGUAAACCCACCAGCAUGACAUCCCUUCACUUGAGGAGCAGAUAACUUUUUUUAACUUUGAAUAAUUGAUGCACUACUGUUUGAUUACUGAGUUUCUUGAUGCAUUUAUAUUUGUCCUGUUACCAAACAAUGAAACUAAAACACUUAAUAUUAUGGAAGUAACUUUCAGUUAGAUGGUGCUACAAGCUUUUCCUUUAGGAUUUUUUUCACUAGUCUGCAGAAGAAGUUUAUACCACCAGCUUUUUCAUCCAAAUACGAUUUAUAUUUUGUUUGCAAAAUAUACCAGUGUGUCAGGUGGCCGCAAAAGUUUCAAGUUGCAUUUAAAAUUAGUGUCAUGAGUACAUUCUACAGCAUAAAAUCCAGGGAAUAUGCAAAUUGGCUAUUUCUAUUUUAACUUUACUAAAGUUUUAGUACAGUAAUUUUAACUUUAGUAUCAGUGGAUCCACUUGAAACAGACAUUCCACCCAGACAAAGCCAAUUUAAAACAUCAACCCUGUUAUCACCUGUUAUGUAGAAGUCACUUCAGCCAUGUGCAAGACUAUUUAUUUAUUUAUUUCAUUUUAGUGCUGUUCUUUUGAGGGAGAGAGAGGAUUAGUUAGUCUUGAGUCAUUGACUUUGACCAUUUGCUUUAGUCAACCCAACUGAAAAAUGGGUGAAGAACAGCUACUUACAUUGCAUCUGAACUAUGUUCCUGUUUAAAUGAUCAAAAUGUGACCUGAUUCUGUGUCUGAGUUCUUGAGUGACAAGUAGAACAGUUUUUUAGCCUAUAUAUCAGAUAUGCUUUUAAAAUACAUUGAGAUAUCCACAAACUUUUAGUAAUAAAUCUAAGGGAAUGUAGAGGGGAUUGCACUGACAUAGUAAAGCUUAAAACUGUAUAUAUUGUUUUAUAAUUUAGCACUCUUCUUACUUACAGUUGUCUAGAUUCCGAAACAAAUCACGAGUGGGACAUCCGUAACUUACUACUUGAUACAGCAAGUACCGAAUGGAAAGUCUGGUGUAACACUGAACACAAUGAUAUGUUUAAAAAAUAAAUAAAUAAAACAAAUAUUCCACAUUUUGGCUUCUGUCUUUGAGCUGAAUAACAAUGGUUAUAAUUCUAUGUAUUUUUAUAUUAAAUUUAAAAUUAUCUUAAAAUACUACUCUUUGGAGAAGCAGUUCCCCAAGUUAGUUUUGCAAGAUGCCAUAGUAUACUGUUGUAUAUGUUUUUGCCAUCCAUUAAUAGUGUACGUAACUCAUAGCCUCUCAGAACCUUAGUGUAAAAGAAAGAAGCCUGAAAUGAUUUCUCUGAGAUGUGUGGACUGUCCAGUUCAUGUAAUUGAAGUGCUAACUCUGAAACAGAGAUUUUUAAAUGGUGAAAA